GCGAAGUGGACGUGUCGACGGAUGUGGAAUUUUUCAAACGUUCAAACGCUGCUCUUGCUCUCUUUCAUUGUUGCAAUAGCUUUGACAGCAGCAGCAACAACAACUAGUGAGACUGUUGAAGCAGCGUUGACGCUACAGAAGUAAAUAAAAUAAAGAAACAACAACAAUUCAUCCAAAACUGCAGCAUAAAAUUAAAAUAUUUAAUUAGGUGAAAUAUAGCUGUAAUUAGUGCAUAGUCGCAUUAGUUGCACGCUUAAGUGAAUUGUAGCUUCCAUUGUACAUACAUAUAUGCAUAUAAAUACAUACAUACUUACAUACACAUACAAAUUAACGUACGUGUGAAGCAUUUAUGUGAGUGUGAAUAUAACAUAAUAUCAAGAUAAUAAGGAUAAGGAGAAUAAACACCACGCAUACAUACAUAUGCACAUAAAUACCAUACAUAUAAACUGGUGUAUCUAAAAAUAGCUUAAACGUAAAUGAAUAACUUAAUUGGAGCAGUAAAUGCAUGGAUGUCGGUUGCAGG